rnacentral:rRNA from 1 species
UACGAAGGGGGGCUAGCGUUGCUCGGAAUCACUGGGCGUAAAGGGUGCGUAGGCGGGUCUUUAAGUCAGGGGUGAAAUCCUGGAGCUCAACUCCAGAACUGCCUUUGAUACUGAGGAUCUUGAGUUUCGGGAGAGGUGAGUGGAACUGCGAGUGUAGAGGUGAAAUUCGUAGAUAUUCGCAAGAACACCAGUGGCGAAGGCGGCUCACUGGCCCGAUACUGACGCUGAGGCACGAAAGCGUGGGGAGCAAACAGG